GAUGAACGCUGGCGGCGUGCCUAAUACAUGCAAGUCGAGCGAACAGACGAGGAGCUUGCUCCUCUGACGUUAGCGGCAGACGGGUGAGUAACACGUGGAUAACCUACCUAUAAGACUGGGAUAACUUCGGGAAACCGGAGCUAAUACCGGAUAAUAUAUUGAACCGCAUGGUUCAAUAGUGAAAGACGGUUUUGCUGUCACUUAUAGACGGAUCCGCGCCGCAUUAGCUAGUUGGUAAGGUAACGGCUUACCAAGGCGACGAUGCGUAGCCGACCUGAGAGGGUGAUCGGCCACCUGAGAGGGGAGACGGGGUCAAGGCGCCUACGAGAGGGAGCAGUCGGGAAUCUGCCGCAGUGGGCGAGAGCAUGACGGAGCAGCGCCGCGUGAGUGGUGACGAUCUUCGGUGCGUAAAACUCUGUUAUUGGGGAAAAACAAAUGUGUAAGUAAAUGUGGCCGUCUUGACGGUACCUGAAGAGGAAGCACCGGCUAACUACGUG
rnacentral:rRNA from 1 species